rnacentral:rRNA from 1 species
GAUGAACGCUGGCGGCGUGCCUAAUACAUGCAAGUCGAGCGAACAGACGAGGAGCUUGCUCCUCUGACGUUAGCGGCGGACGGGUGAGUAACACGUGGAUAACCUACCUAUAAGACUGGGAUAACUUCGGGAAACCGGAGCUAAUACCGGAUAAUAUAUUGAACCGCAUGGUUCAAUAGUGAAAGACGGUUUUGCUGUCACUUAUAGAUGGAUCCGCGCCGCAUUAGCUAGUUGGUAAGGUAACGGCUUACCAAGGCAACGAUGCGUAGCCGACCUGAGAGGGGGGCCGGCCAACCUGAAACGAGGACCCGGCCCAGCCCCCAACGGGGGGCAGCAUUGGGGAACCUUCCGCAAGGGGGGAAAGCCUGAGGGGGCAACGCCGCGUGGGUGAUGAAGUUUUGCGGUUCGUAAAACUCUGUUAUUGGGGAAAAAAAAAUGUGAAAGUAACUAUGUCAGUUUUGAGGGGACCUAAGCAGAAAGCCCCGGCAAACUACGU